rnacentral:rRNA from 1 species
AGCAGCCGCGGUAAUUCCAGCUCCAAUAGCGUAUAUUUAAGUUGUUGCAGUUAAAAAGCUCGUAGUUGAAUUUCGGGGUUAGUAGGCUGGUCAUGCCUCUGGUAUGUACUGGUCUCACUGAUUCCUCCUUCCUGAUGAACCUUAAUGCCAUUAAUUUGGUGUUUUGGGGAAUUUGGACUGUUACUUUGAAAAAAUUAGAGUGUUUAAAGCAAGCUAACGCUUGAAUACAUUAGCAUGGAAUAAUGAAAUAGGACGUUCGAUCCUAUUUUGUUGGUUUCUAGGAUUGACGUAAUGAUUAAUAGGGAUAGUUGGGGGCAUUAGUAUUCAAUUGUCAGAGGUGAAAUUCUUGGAUUUAUUGAAGACUAACUACUGCGAAAGCAUUUGCCAAGGAUGUUUUCAUUAAUCAAGAACGAAAGUUAGGGGAUCGAAGACGAUCAGAUACCGUCGUAGUCUUAACCAUAAACUAUGCCGACUAGGGAUCGGAUGAUGUUAAUUUUUUAAUGACUC